rnacentral:lncRNA from 1 species
CAGAUUCAGAGCCCCAGCCUGUUCAUAAAAAAAAUCAGAUGAAUUUUGUCUGCGGAACAUUCUGCAAAAAUAUCUGACCAGGAAAGAUAAAUAAGAUGCAAAAAGUCACACACACAGGAAAUGAUUAAUACAAUUUUAUGGCAUCAAAAGAUACCAUCGAUAAAGUAAAACACAAGUCACGAACUAGGGGAAAGAAGAUGAGGUAACAUCCAAAAUACAUGAAGAAAUCUUGUAAGUCUAUUAAAAGACUAUACGACCUAACAGAAAGAAGCAGCAAAAGCCAUGAAAAGAGCUGGGGAUUGUGGUAUGUGCCUUUAGUCCUAGCUACUCCGGAGGCUGAGGCAGGAGGAUCACCUGAGCCCAGGACUUUGAGGCCGCUGUAAGCUAUGAUCAUGCCACUGCACUCCAGCUCAGGCAACAGUGAGACCCGGUCUCAACAAACAAAAGAAAAUAAAAGAAUGGUAGACAAGGAAAGCAGUUGAACAGCUAUGCGAGAAGCCUACUUUCUCUUCAUGUAACACGUUGGCCUAAGAGAUCUAUAGAGCUUUUUAAAAACAAAGAAGGCAGCAAGAUUUAAAAUAAUAAAACCAGCAAUAGGUAUUUUUAAAAGUGAGAGAAACUAUCAGAGAGCUGUAGCAGAAAAGCAAGUUAAAAAUAAAGGAAACAGAAAAGGAACUGAUACAGCUGAUUUGAUACUGGAAAAAUCACCCAGGAGGCAGCGUGGAC